UCCGACUUAACGUCGGCAGUCUCUUUAGAGUGCCCAACUUAAUGCUGGCAACUAAAGACAGGGGUUGCGCUCGUUAUGGGACUUAACCCGACAUCUCACGACACGAGCUGACGACAGCCAUGCAGCACCUAUGCAGCAGUCCCGAAGGACAACGACGUCUCUGCCGUUUUCCACUGCAUUUCGAGCCCAGGUAAGGUUUUUCGCGUUGCAUCGAAUUGAACCACAUGCUCCACCGCUUGUGCGGGCCCCCGUCAAUUUCUUUGAGUUUUAAUCUUGCGACCGUACUUCCCAGGCGGGGUACUUAACGCGUUAGCUUCGGCACUGAAGGGGUCAAUACCUCCAACACCAAGUACCCAUCGUUUACAGCGUGGACUAC
rnacentral:misc_RNA from 1 species